rnacentral:sRNA from 1 species
AUAGUAGGUGCUCAAUAUGUGCUUGUUGAAUAAAUGUGUCAAUGUUUGAUGUACAGACCUUUUAUUAUGUUUGAUUUGCUGCCAGUGCUGCCUCCAAACACAGGAGUGCUUCAUGAGAUGUUCACAAAAGGUCUUAAAAUAUUCCACAAAAAUCUUAAAAUAUUUCAUGAGUUUUCUUUCCCGUAUUUUUAUAGCAGCAUCUGGAAUUUAGCCUGCAUAGGACCCUCUGUAAGCUGACCCUGUUUAUCUAUUCAGCUUUACUUCUCCCCUCUCUCCACUUUGUAUUUUAUUCUCUACUACUUCCAACUGAUUGUAAUUUGACCAGACUCCAGACUAUCUUAUGCCUCUUUGCUUUUGUUUACCUGUUACUUCUCUCUGGAAUUCCCUGCCUCUUCUUAAUUUUUCUGGCCAAUUCUCACUCUCUAGGACUCAGAGGUUUCUCCUCAGGAGACUUCCAUGAGUCUCAUGUUGAGUUAGGUGACCCCAAUCCUCUGUUCUUCAUAGUCAUUCGCGCAUUUAUCUAGCUCAGCAUUUGCCAUACUACAUUGAAAUUAUUUCCUUAUGUGCCCAUCACUCCCCGUAGAUUGCAAACUCCUAGAGAAGGGCUCAACAGUGAGUGCUGAGGCUGCACAGAGGAGGAAGGCAGCACAAUGAUGGAAGGCUUCCUAAAGAGAUAACACUAACAAAGUUGACCUUAGAAUUGGAGUGCCUGGGUUAGAACCCUGCUGGUACCACCUGCUUACUGCAUGCUUCUGAUGUGAGUUCAGGAGAAGACACUGGCAAGGACAGCAAAGAACAGGAGAACACUCUAGCUUCCCUGAUAGCAUUCAAGGUGCUGUCCAAAAGUUUCACUCUUACUGCCCAGGCUGGAGUGGAAUGGCACAAUCUUGGCUCACUGCAACCUCCGUCUUUCGGGUUCAAGCAAUUCUCCUGCCUCAGCCUCCCCAGUAGCUGGGACUACAGGCAUGCACCACCAUGCCUGGCUAAUUUUGUAUUUUUAGGAGAGACAGGGUUUCACCAUGUUGGUCAGGCUGGUCUUGAACUCCUGACCUCAGUUGAUCCACCCUCCUCAGC